UACCAAAAAGCUAGCUUAAAAACUAAAUCCAACAUUUAAUACUAAUACCCACACACAUUCAAACCUUAAACAACAAAUCAUUCUUCCAUCCUAGUAUGGGCGACAGAAAAG
rnacentral:rRNA from 1 species